rnacentral:lncRNA from 1 species
AAUGUGCAACACAAAACAAGUAAACAAAGUAAGAAUGUCACGACCAAGUAACUACAGAAAAGAAGAUUAAGUAAUUGCAAUGUUGAUGAGGAUGGCUGGGAUUACUGAUGCAUCUACCUUCUCUAAUUAUUAAGGCCACAACAAAGUCUUGAACAUUUUACUGCUCGAUAGGUUUUUAUAGUAGUCUGCUUCUCUCAAG